rnacentral:rRNA from 1 species
AGGAUUCCCUCAGUAGCGGCGAGCGAACAGGGAUGAGCCCAGCACUGAAUCCCGCGCCCGACACCGGACGCCGGGAAAUGUGGUGUUAGGGAGAGACGACAUGUCUCGAGUUCGUGCGGCGAGUCCAAGUCCUUCUUGAACGGGGCCACAGUCCAUAGAGGGUGCCAGGCCCGUAGUGACCGCUGCCGAUCGCGAGGUGAUCUCUCCUAAGAGUCGGGUUGCUUGAGAGUGCAGCCCUAAGUGGGUGGUAAACUCCAUCUAAGGCUAAAUAUGACCACUAGACCGAUAGCGAACAAGUACCGUGA